rnacentral:rRNA from 1 species
AUUGAACGCUGGCGGCAGGCUUAACACAUACAAGUCGAACGAUGAGUCUCUAGCUUGCUAGAGAUGAUUAGUGGCGGACGGGUGAGUAACAUUUAGGAAUCUACCUAGUAGUGGGGGAUAGCUCGGGGAAACUCGAAUUAAUACCGCAUACGACCUACGGGUGAAAGGGGGCGCAAGCUCUUGCUAUUAGAUGAGCCUAAAUCAGAUUAGCUAGUUGGUGGGGUAAAGGCCCACCAAGGCGACGAUCUGUAACUGGUCUGAGAGGAUGAUCAGUCACACCGGAACUGAGACACGGUCCGGACUCCUACGGGAGGCAGCAGUGGGGAAUAUUGGACAAUGGGGGCAACCCUGAUCCAGCCAUGCCGCGUGUGUGAAGAAGGCCUUUUGGUUGUAAAGCACUUUAAGCAGGGAGGAGAGGCUAAUGGUUAAUACCCAUUAGAUUAGACGUUACCUGCAGAAUAAGCACCGGCUAACUCUGUG